UGUCUUUGCCAAAGUCAGAUCUGAAUCCAUCCUUAGCCUUAGAGUAGCAAACAAUGAAGAGUUCAUUGAGUAUGCCAAUGAACACAAUGAAGGCAGCCCCUGCUCCAAAGACUCCUUUCCUCAAGAUCUCGCAAGAAGGAGGUUGGUCCCCAAAAAUUGUCCUGUAUCUGGUAUGGUAGGCAUUCCUCACAGAACCCGCAAGCAAGCAAAUCUCCGCGAUAAAAAAUGCCAACCUGCGAGUGAUGAAAGUGGA